UACGUAGGGGGCAAGCGUUGUCCGGAUUUACUGGGCGUAAAGGGCGCGUAGGCGGUCAGCACAAGUCAGUUGUGAAAUCUCCGAGCUUAACUCGGAAAGGUCAACUGAUACUGUGCGACUAGAGUGCGGAAGGGGCAACUGGAAUUCUUGGUGUAGCGGUGAAAUGCGUAGAUAUCAAGAGGAACACCUGCGGCGAAGGCGGGUUGCUGGGCCGACACUGACGCUGAAGCGCGAAAGCCAGGGGAGCGAACGGG
rnacentral:rRNA from 1 species